UGGCUUGGACUAAAUAACCUAAAGGCUCCAGAUCCUGUCUGAUUUUGGAAGCAAAGUAGGGUAAGGCUGGGUUAGUUCUUGGAUGGGGGACUCCCAAAUAAUACUACAUUUUGUAAGCUAU
rnacentral:rRNA from 11 species